CAGCGCCGCGGGAAUACAGAGGGUGCGAGCGUUAAUCGGAUUUACUGGGCGUAAAGCGUGCGUAGGCGGCUUCUUAAGUCGGAUGUGAAAUCCCUGAGCUUAACUUAGGAAUUGCAUUCGAUACUGGGAAGCUAGAGUAUGGGAGAGGAUGGUAGAAUUCCAGGUGUAGCGGUGAAAUGCGUAGAGAUCUGGAGGAAUACCGAUGGCGAAGGCAGCCAUCUGGCCUAAUACUGACGCUGAGGUACGAAAGCAUGGGGAGCAAACAGGAUUAGAUACCCCGGUAGUCCCUGUCUCUUAUACA
rnacentral:rRNA from 1 species